rnacentral:lncRNA from 1 species
GACGAUUAGGUCAACUCUUAACCUAAUCGGGUCAAACCCAACAGAAUCCAAUUCAAUUGGACUUGAUCCAAAAAUAAUUACUUAAUCAAAUUGAGUUAAUUAGUGAUCAAAUCACUAAUUAAACCUCUCAUAAAUACUGAGUUCAAAUUCGAUGGGCAAUCAGGCAUCAGAAUUCAUCGAUAUGUAAACCUGAUCGAAAAAUCCCAACC